rnacentral:rRNA from 1 species
GACGAACGCUGGCGGCGUGCCUAAUACAUGCAAGUCGAACGAAGCUGUUUUAACUGGUGCUUGCACCGACUUAAACAACUGAGUGGCGAACGGGUGAGUAACACGUGGGUAACCUGCCCCAAAGCGGGGGAUAACAUUUGGAAACAGAUGCUAAUACCGCAUAACCACAGAAACCACAUGGUUUCUGUGUCAAAGAUGGUUUCGGCUAUCACUUUGGGAUGGACCCGCGGCGUAUUAGCUAGUUGGUAAGGUAAUGGCUUACCAAGGCAAUGAAACGUAGCGGAACUGAAAGGUUGAUCGGCCACAUUGGGACUGAGACACGGCCCAAACUCCUACGGGAGGAAGCAGUAGGGAAUCUUCCACAAUGGACGAAAGUCUGAUGGAGCAACGCCGCGUGAGUGAAGAAGGUUUUCGGAUCGUAAAACUCUGUUGUCAGAGAAGAACGUGUGCGAGAGUAACUGUUCGUGCAGUGACGGUAUCUGGCCAGAAAGCCACGGCUAACUACGUGCCAGCCGCCGCCGUAA